ensembl:lncRNA
GUGAGAUUUGAACCCUUUGAAUGUCAACAAUGUUUUCUGUGUUUUACCGUUGAGACCUUGAGACCCCUAGAAGUGACGUGAUAAUCAGCCGUGUUUUAGGGGAAAUAUCAUGUGACGUUCCCGUUCUCCUGACCGACAACCAGACAGGAAGGAGAACCUCUGCUCGCCAGGCAGAGAGCGCGUCGAGGCCCUCAGCCUGGAGACAGUGUUCAUGCUGCAGGGACAAGCAGGGGCCGACUCUAAAGAGAAAGCGCCGGCCCUCUGCUGCUCCCGGAGACCUUCACCAGAAGAGGAAGCGCACCUCCGGAGCCCGUCCCCUCCCUGACCAUCCAGAGGUGUUGGACUGUGUCCCCGCUGUGCAGCCCUCCCCAGCUGGUGACCAUUCAGGGUCUUUGGUGGAGAAGCCUAGAGCCACCAUCCCACCUGCUGACCUGCCCCGAGUCUCCUGUGUGGCCCCCAGCCUCCAGCCCUCCACUGCUCCACUGCACGACGGGCCUC